GAACUUAAUCUCACAUUUAAUCAAUUAUACAUAAAUAAGUGUUUUGAGAAGUAGUAUUUUAAUCUAUGUUCUGUGAAUGACAAGUGUUAUCUGUCAAGUGUCAAAAAACUUGAAAAACUUUUACGAAGUUUGAUUUUUGUUAAAUUUGUUUAAAAACACAAUGCCAAAGGCAAGAAUAAUUGCCCACGCCAGAUGGAGACCCAGCUAAAUAAUGUAGUAACAGCGCGUGGUCGUGUGAUGAGGGUUCCUUGACUUGAGUUCUGGCGCAACACGUCCUGGGCACUAAACAAGAUUGGGGAUGGGACGUCUAAAGAGGUGCAAGCCUGGAAAACGCUCUCGUCUUGCUCUACAGCACUUGCACUUGUCCCACCAUAUACCAGUGUUGGAACUCUUCCAAUAAUUUCCCACACCCAGGUGGAGAAUACUCCAGUUACUGCUACUGCUACUCUAAAAUAUCUCUCAUCUUGUUCUACAGCGCCUGCACCUGUCCUACCAUCUACCAGUGUUGGAACUCUUCGAAGUGUAUUAAUAAUUAUUAUUUUAGUAACCAUAAAAGUUUAAAACAAUACAUUUUAUUGCAUAAUUAUUUGUUAGAAAAAACGACAAGUACAAAUGAGUAGGGAGGCUGUUGAUUUUUCAUGGUUAUUUUAUAUCUUGUUGAUUGUUCCAAAAAAAAACUAAGUUUUCAAGAAUGCUGUGAUUAAAGUACCUAUAGUAUUAUAUUUAAAAUAAAAACUUAGUUUGUAAAGAGACGAAGGCUGACCACAAAAGAAGUACUUAUAGCUGUCUGUGUCUGUGUAAAGAAUUUAAAUAAAAAGAUGUGUAUAUUUAAA